AUGCACAUGCACACAUAUACACGCACACAUAUACACGCACACAUACACUCACGCACACAUGCACACAAACGCAUACACACAUACACACGCACACACGUUUUUUUUGUUCAAAUAAGGGGUUGAGGUGGGCGUCCCAGAGGCUACUGAGUGGAGCAGCAGGAGGAUUAGGUGGAGGAACAGGUGGAGGAACACCUUCAGAAUCCUCUGCUGGGCGUGGGGGUCCUCUGUACAACGUCCCCUCAUGUUGUGUGUGUGUUCUAAUGUGAUCCGUGUGUUUUAAUGUGUGUUUUAUAAUGUGAUCGGUGUGAGUUAUUGUUUCUGUGCGUUGUGCUCCUGUGUGUGUGUAAUGUGUAUAUUCUAAUGUGAGGUGUGGUUGUGUUAUAUUGUGUGUGUGUGUGUGUGUGGAAAUGUGAUGUGUGUAUUCUAAUUUGAUGUGUGUCUGGGUUAUUGUUUCUGUGUAAUAAUGUGUGUGUUCUAAUGUGAUGUGGGUGUAUUAUCGUAAAGUGGGGUCAAUUACGUUAACUGUGUUUAUAAAGUGGUUUUGAACGUAUUAUGCGUAUUAAGGUAUACUUUAACGUGUACAGGUUGUCAAAUGUGUAUUAAUGUGAUUUGAACGUGUGUUUAACUUGUACUGUGUGUAUUUCUAAUGUGAGCUUUGUGUUAUAUUGUUUCUGUGUGUUCUAAUGUGAUGUGUGUGUGCGUGCAUUGUAAUGUGUGUAUCCUAAUUGGAUUUUUGUGUGGGUUAUUGUGUGUGUGUGUGUGUGUGUAGAGGGGGGGAGGGGUUAUUGGUUCUAUGUGUAAUGAUGCGUUUGUUCUAAUGUGAUUUUUGUUUGUGUUAUUGGUUCUGUGUGUGUGUCGGUGUUUAUUGUAAUGUGUGUAUUCUAUUUGGAUGUGUUUGUGUGUUAUUGUUUAUGUAUGUGAUGUGUGUGUGUGUGUGUUGACGGCGUAUUUCAAUGUAUAUUGGACUGUGUGUAUAAUUGGUAUUUAAACAUGUACUGUGGGGUGUAUAACGUGUUACAAAACUCCUGUUCAAACUCGCACACAACGUCUAACUGAUCACUGUUUUGAUUGUUUGUUUGUUUUGUUUAGUCUUGUUUUUGUUUUAUUUAUUUUUUAUUUUUUAUGUUUAUUUUUUAUUUUUAUUUUUUCCACAAUGUCUUGUUUUUUAAACGAUUUAUGAUGACUAUAUGCUCUGUAAGGUUACCUUGGGUGUCUUGAAAGGCGCCUAUAAAUUAAAUGUAUUAUUAUUUAUUAUUAGUACAUACAUUCAUGUAACAUGAAUGUAUGUGGUGUGUAUUAACACACAGUACAUACAUUCAUGUUACAUGAAUGUAUGUGAUGUGUAUUAGAGUGUACACUAAUGUCUACUGUGUUUAUAAUGUGUAUUUAAACGUGUACUGUGUGUAUUAAGGUAUACUUAAAAGGCUACUGUUUGAAUUGACCUGUACCUUAACAUGUACUGUGUCUAUAAUGUGUAUCAAUGAGACACAUUAUAUACUGUGUAUAUAAUGUGUAUUUAAAUGUGUAUAUAUGUGUAUUAACGUGUACUCUGAUGUGUCCUGUAACGUGUACUGUGUAUUAUAGUGUACCUUGUGUAUUAACAUUAAUACAGACAUUACACAUUAUAGAACAUGUUAAUACACGAACAGUACACGUUAAUACACGUGUAUUAACGUGUGUACUAUAAUGUGAACUGUGUGUAUUAACAUGUACUCUAACGGGUAUUAACAGUAUUGUAACGUCUACUGCGACAUGUCGUGUGUGUGUGUGUGUGUGUAUUAACGUUUACUGUGUUUGUUUUUUUUACCGUGUACUAUAACGUAUAUAAAGUUACGCGUGUACUGUGUGUAUAAACGUGUACUCUAAGGUGUACCGUGUGUAUGAAGUGUACUGUAACAUGUACGGUGUGUGUGUGUGAUAAUGUGUAUUAACGUGUACUUUACUGUGCACUGU